rnacentral:rRNA from 1 species
GUGCCAGCAGCCGCGGUAAUACGGAGGGUGCGAGCGUUGUCCGGAAUCAUUGGGCGUAAAGGGCGCGUAGGUGGCCUUCUAAGCGUGCGGUGAAAGCCUGGGGCUCAACCCCGGGUCGGCCGUGCGAACUGGGGGGCUGGAGCACUGUAGAGGCAGGCGGAAUUCCGGGUGUAGCGGUGGAAUGCGUAGAGAUCCGGAAGAACACCGGUGGCGAAGGCGGCCUGCUGGGCAGUGGCUGACACUGAGGCGCGACAGCGUGGGGAGCAAACAGGAUUAGAUACCCUGGUAGUCC